rnacentral:rRNA from 1 species
CGUGUAGGCUGCUCUGCAAGUCGGGUGUGAAAGCCCUGGGCUCAACCUAGGAAGUGCACUCGAAACUGCGGAGCUUGAGUUUCGGAGAGGAAGGCGGAAUUCUCGGUGUAGAGGUGAAAUUCGUAGAUAUCGAGAGGAACACCGGUGGCGAAGGCGGCCUUCUGGACGAUGACUGACGCUGAGACGCGAAAGCGUGGGGAGCAAACA